GACGAACGCUGGCGGCGUGCCUAAUACAUGCAAGUAGAACGCUGAAGAGAGGAGCUUGCUCUUCUUGGAUGAGUUGCGAACGGGUGAGUAACGCGUAGGUAACCUGCCUUGUAGCGGGGGAUAACUAUUGGAAACGAUAGCUAAUACCGCAUAACAAUGGAUGACACAUGUCACUUAUUUGAAAGGGGCAAUUGCUCCACUACAAGAUGGACCUGCGUUGUAUUAGCUAGUAGGUGAGGUAAUGGCUCACCUAGGCGACGAUACAUAGCCGACCUGAGAGGGUGAUCGGCCACACUGGGACUGAGACACGGCCCAGACUCCUACGGGAGGCAGCAGUAGGGAAUCUUCGGCAAUGGGGGCAACCCUGACCGAGCAACGCCGCGUGAGUGAAGAAGGUUUUCGGAUCGUAAAGCUCUGUUGUAAGUCAAGAACGGGUGUGAGAGUGGAAAGUUCACACUGUGACGGUAGCUUACCAGAAAGGGACGGCUAACUACGUG
rnacentral:rRNA from 1 species